rnacentral:lncRNA from 1 species
AUGCAAGAAGAGUUGGACCAUGGGACUGCUGCUGCCUUGAAGAAGAGAGGAAGAAAAGAAAUCAAAGGGACAGAGAAUGCUCAACUCCUGAGUGCUGCACUGAGGAAGAGUGAACUGGCCAAAGGGACUCUGAAGAAAAACUCCAUAAUGCUGCAGAGAAAAUCUCCUGACAACUGCAUGGGCCAGUCUCAUCUCCAGGUGUCCCUGCUGCAGUCACAGCUGGCCCGAGACCGACAGCACCACCUGGAGAGCUGUGCAGGGAGCAGAAGGGAUCUCCUUGCUUCCUAAACUUCUCAGAGAGGAGCCAGAGUGCAGCUGGAUGUAGUCUUAGCCUUAGAUUUUGUCAAUAGUUUAUGUUUAAAGGAUAGUUAGAGGUUUAAGGGAACCUUUAUACAACUGUGUUCCAUAGGAUGUAGGAUGUAUUUAUAGACAAAUAAAGAGUUUGUUAUG